GACGAACGCUGGCGGCGUGCUUAACACAUGCAAGUCGAACGGAAAGGCCCUGCUUUUGUGGGGUGCUCGAGUGUCGAACGGGUGAGUAACACGUGAGUAACCUGCCCUUGACUUUGGGAUAACUUCCGGAAACUUGGUCUAAUACCGGAUAGGAGCUCCUGCUGCAUGGUGGGGGUUGGAAAGUUUCGGCGGUUGUGGAUGGACUCGCGGCUUAUCAGCUUGUUGGUGGGGUAGUGGCUUACCAAGGCUUUGACGGGUAGCCGGCCUGAGAGGGUGACCGGCAACAUUGGGACUGAGAUACGGAACAGACUACUAAGGGAGGCAGCAGUGGGGAAUAUUGCACAAUGGGCGGAAGCCUGAUGCAGAAACGCAGCGUGCGGGAUGACGGCCUUCGGGUUGUAAACCGCUUUCGCCUGUGACGAAGCGUGAGUGACGGUAAUGGGUAAAGAAGCACCGGCUAACUACGUG
rnacentral:rRNA from 1 species